rnacentral:rRNA from 1 species
UACGGAGGAUGCAAGCGUUAUCCGGAAUGAUUGGGCGUAAAGCGUCCGCAGGUGGCUAUGUAAGUCUGCUGUUAAAGAGUGAGGCUCAACCUCAUAAGAGCAGUGGAAACUACAUGGCUAGAGUGCGUUCGGGGCAGAGGGAAUUCCUGGUGCAGCGGUGAAAUGCGUAGAGAUCAGGAAGAACACCGGUGGCGAAAGCGCUCUGCUAGGCCGCAACUGACACCCAUGGACGAAAGCUAGGGGAGCGAAUGGG